ensembl:lncRNA
CAAGGACUGCGCUGGUACUGUAUGCUGUACCGAGCUGGGAGUUCAUGCAUGCUAUAGGAAAUGUGUUCUGCUUGAUUAACCUCAUGCUGACAUCUCAGGCUGAUGGUGGUGAGGCCUUCAUGCUGUCACCAGAAACAAUGUGGUCACACCGAGAUGGGUGACUGUAGCAGGGAGCAGCUCACUGAGCAUCUGUUCGGUGUGGGAGCAGAGGACCUCUCUCUUUCCAUACUGCUAAUUUCAAGGCAAACACCAUGGACUAAGUUCAGCAACAAGAAACAUGGAAGAGCUGGUCCCUAGCUGGGUACAUCUCUUUGAUAUUACAGAGGUACAGGAUGCUCUAACACCAUCUCACUUCAAACUAGAGACCUGCCAUAGUAUCUUAUCUUCUACUGUCACCCUGACUCCAGUGCCAUAAAGAAACCAAUACUGUUUACUGGCAUACUGCACAGGUAGCUCCAUCUUUCAUGAGCUGAAAUCUGCCCUCUUCUCACUGUAUGAGAAGCUACAAGAUGUCCUUUGGACUCUCACCCAAGCAUGACCAGCUGCACAAGCAAGUCUGUGUUGUAAAGGUAACUGACAUCAGGAACAGAACAACCUCUAGAGAAGUAUUUGGCACAGAACACAUAAAACUAUGCUUUGCCUGGCUACUAUCAUCAGCGAGAAUCUCUGUCACCAUAGACAUAAUAAUCGGAAAGCUAUGACUGCGGCAAAAAUUAGUAAUAACAUCCAAUAUGCUAAGUAAGUUCCUUUUAGUGGUGUACCUGAGUUGUGCAAACAGGGAUAAAAUAAAACUCAUUUUCACCUUUAAAACCAUUCGAAUUUGUUUGCAUAGUAUUCCCGAUGUAUAAAGUAUUUUCAGGCAAUGAGCUUUAUGUUCAUAUAUGACAAAUUAAAGAAGAUUGAAUAACUUCAUCUAAACCACAUGGAGUCCCCUAUACUGAAUUUUCUCACUGAAUGCUCAAGAGCAAAAGUCUGAAUGAAUAGCAGAGAUUUACAGUGUGCCUCUGAGGUCAAGAAUCUUGUUCAGAAUGAACAAUAAAGGGAUCAAAUUCCAAUGGAGAGUGGUCACUCCUGAGCCCUUCUGGCCCGUUUUCCCUUACCAUACAAUGUGAAGGAUUAUUCACAAAAAAAAUACCUCAGCCAAUCUCAGUUCUUUGUCUGACUUAUGCAGAAAGAAGUAGCCUGCAAGGACUCCAGUCAUUUGGGCCUGCACUUGCUAAAUCAACACCUCCAGUUUCACUCAGAAACAGGUGGUCAGCAAGAGUCUCUGAAAAGCAAUCUGUAUAUUCUCUCCAUUAUUGCGGCCAAUUUACAAUAAAAUUAAAAAAAAAAAAAAAAGCAGCUGAACUUUCCGUAAAGGGUGCAUUUUCAUGUUAGAUUAGGGACUCUCUUGCAAAGUGGAGAAUUAGGGUGCCAGAAACGACUAUGCUGCGAAACUACUGCUGAAGAUGAGAAAUGGGGAUACAUGGAAAAUCUGCUUCUAGCUGAC